GGUAAGAUGGCCGAGGAUUGUUAGGCGUUAGGCUGUAGUCCUUUUUACAGAGGUUCAAGCCCUCUUCUUAUCG
rnacentral:tRNA from 1 species